rnacentral:rRNA from 1 species
CGCAUCUGUGCAUGCAGCAUAUCAAUAAGCGGAGGAAAAGAAACUAACAAGGAUUCCCCUAGUAACGGCGAGUGAAGCGGGAAGAGCUCAAAUUUGAAAUCUUAAAGGGUUUCCCUUUACGAAUUGUAGUUUAAAGAAGUGUUUUCUGUUGAGGUUUUGGUAAAAGUUCUUUGGAAUAGGACAUCAUAGAGGGUGAGAAUCCCGUAUUUGACCUUUACUUUCAACUUUGUGAUACACUUUCGAAGAGUCGGAUUGUUUGGGAAUGCAGUCCAAAAUGGGUGGUAAAUUUCAUCUAUAAGCUAAAUAUUGGCGAGAGACCGAUAGCGAACAAGUACCGUGAGGGAAAGAUGAAAAGAACUUUGAAAAGAGAGUUAAACAGUACGUGAAAUUGUCAAAAGGGAAGCGUUUGACACCAGUGUUGUUUUUCUGAAAAUCAAUUAAAGAACUGUUUAUGCUAAGUUGUUUAGACUUUAUCAGCUAUCUGUUUAGUUUUGAGCUUUUCUUUAAUGCACUUUUCAGUUAACAAGUCAACAUCAAUUUCUUUUGCUGUAAAAAAGCUUGAGGAAGGUGGCUCGAGAUUCGUCUUAAGUGUUUAUAGCCUCUUGCCUAUGCAGUCGGAGAGAUUGAGGUCUGCAGCGUAGAUCCUUCGGGGCUAAAUGCAUUUGUGCUAAGUUAUAGCAUUUUAUAGACAACUUGUUGACUAUGAUUUGUCUUGUAGCUUACUCGCUUAUGUUAUUUUACCUACGCUUAGGAUGUUGAGUCAUCACACAUCUCU